CUCACACAGAUGCUGCGCACACCAGUGGUUGUAACAAUGCCGUUUGCCUCCUUCAGGUCUUGCGCUUCAGUCGUGGGCGAAGCCUGAGGAAAAAGAGAGAGAGGCUCAAGGAAGAGAGGAGAGCCCAGUCUGUGCCAAGAGAUGAGGUGGCCCAAAGCAAGGGCAGUGUCUCAGCAGGAGACACACCCAGCAGUGAACAGGCUGUGGCCAGAAAAGAAGAAGCCAGAGAAGAGUUCCUGUCAGCCUCCCCAGAACCCAGAGCAAAGGAUGACAGGAGGAGAAAGUCAAGGCCCAAGGUGUCAGCAUUUUCUGACCCCACCCCACCAGCCGACCAACAGCCUGGACACCAGAAGAACCUGCAUGCUCAUAAUCACCCUAAAAAGAGGAACAGGCAUCGGUGUUCAUCCCCACCCCCACCCCAUGAGUUCAGGGCGUAUCAGCUCUACACAUUGUACCGGGGCAAGGAUGGGAAAGUGAUGCAGGCACCAAUAAAUGGUUGUCGAUGUGAACCUCUAAUCAACAAGCUGGAGAAUCAGUUGGAGGCUACUGUGGAGGAGAUAAAAGCAGAGCUGGGAUCGGUUCAGGACAAAAUGAAUACAAAGCUGGGGCAGAUGGAGAAUAAGACCCAGCACCAAAUGCGUGUUUUGGACAAGCUGAUGGUUGAGCGACUUUCUGCAGAGAGGACGGAGUGCCUGAACCGCCUGCAACAGCACUCAGACACAGAGAAGCAUGAGGGGGAGAAACGACAGGAAUACCUGAGGCUGGGUAAUUUGUAAAGAAGAGAGUUCUUUGGCUUAUGGUUCUGCAGGCUGUACAAGAAGCAUGCUGCCAACAUCUGCAUCUGAUAUCCUUGGUGGAUGAAUUAAAAACCUGGUGCAUGUUAAAGAUUCAGAAUCUGGAGCAGAAGCUUUCUGGAGAUUCUAGGGCCUGCAGAGCUAAAUCCACACCAUCUACUUGUGUGGAUCAAUUAGUGGUGACUGCAGGUCCAGCAGCAGCUUCCGACAGCUCCCCUCCAGUGGUUAGGCCCAAAGAAAAGGCCCUCAACUCCACUGCUACCCAGAGACUCCAGCAGGAGCUGUCGUCUUCUGACUGUACAGGCUCCCGACUGAGAAACGUCAAGGUCCAGACAGCCUUGCUACCCAUGAAUGAGGCAGCCAGAUCUGAUCAGCAGGCUGGGCCCUGUGUCAACAGAGGCACUCAAACUAAGAAGUCUGGGAAGAGUGGGCCAACAAGGCAUCGUGCCCAGCAACCCGCAGCCAGCAGCACCUGUGGGCAGCCGCCACCAGCCGCAGGCAGUGAGCAGACUGGCCCUCACAUUCGGGACACUUCCCAAGCUCUGGAGCUUACCCAGUAUUUUUUUGAGGCUGUUUCUACCCAGAUGGAAAAGUGGUAUGAAAGGAAGAUUGAAGAAGCACGAAGCCAAGCCAAUCAGAAAGCCCAGCAAGAUAAGGCUACAUUGAAGGAACACAUUAAAAGUUUAGAAGAGGAACUUGCCAAACUAAGGACUAGGGUGCAGAAGGAAAAUUAGCACCAAUAAAGAGGAAACAUGAAAGGAUUCUUGAAGAUUUCCAGUUUUGCAACUGCAUAAUAGCUAUGCCCAAGGAGUCAACUAUUGUAUAUAUUGCAGAUUUGCCUUUUUAAAAAAAUCACUAAUUCUGCAAUGUGCCAGAUACAUGUUUCCUAUGCCCAGGAAGUUAUGAAGACUUCAACAAUUAAACUGAAACCAGGGGAAGCUUGCUUAGUUUUGGGUUUCAUUAUAAACUCUUAGCCUCAGUCCAGGUUAAUCUGAAGUUUGAAAGCUCAGAUUAAGCAAGCCAUGCCAAGAAACUGGACGAUGCGUAAGCCUAGACUCUAAAAUUCAAGAUGUGUGAAAUAAUAUAAGUCAAAAGCAAGAAAAACGUAAUCCCGUCUGAACUCAAGUAGUCAUUCAUAUAAAUUUGAACACACCUGCUGUGCCUAGACAAGUGUCUUUCUGUAAGAGCUGUAACUCUGAGGUGUGCUAAAUAAACCCUCUUUCUCAAA
rnacentral:sRNA from 1 species